rnacentral:rRNA from 1 species
UUUCUAGUGUAGAGGUGAAAUUCGUAGAUAUUAGAAAGAAUACCAAUUGCGAAUGCAGCUUUCUGGAUCAUUACUGACACUGAGGAACGAAAGCAUGGGUAGCGAAGAGGAUUAGAUACCCUCGUAGUCCAUGCCGUAAACGAUGUGUGUUAGACGUUGGAGAUUUAUUUUCAGUGUCGCAGCGAAAGCGAUAAACACACCGCCUGGGGAGUACGACCGCAAGGUUAAAACUCAAAUGAAUUGACGGGGACCCGCACAAGUAGUGGAGCAUGUGGUUUAAUUCGAAGAUACGCGCAGAACCUUACCAACACUUGACAUGUUCGUCGCGACUUUAAGAGAUUAAAGUUUUCGGUUCGGCCGGACGAAACACAGGUGCUGCAUGGCUGUCGUCAGCUCGUGUCGUGAGAUGUUGGGUUAAGUCCCGCAACGAGCGCAACCCUCACUUUUAGUUGCCAUCAUUUAGUUGGGCACUCUGAAAGAACUGCCAGUGAUAAGCUGGAGGAAGGUGGGGAUGACGUCAAGUCCUCAUGGCCCUUACGUGUUGGGCUACACACGUGCUACAAUGGUAUUUACAACAGGAAGCAAAACGGCGACGUUAAGCAAAUCCUUAAAAAAUACCUCAGUUCGGAUUGCACUCUGCAACUCGAGUGCAUGAAGCUGGAAUUACUAGUAAUCGUGGAUCAGCGUGCCACGGUGAAUGCGUUCCCGGGUCUUGUACACACCGCCCGUCACACCAUGGGAGUUGGUUCUACCUUAAGGCAAGGUUUUAAACCCUUGACCACGGUAUAGUCAGCGACUGGGGUGAAGUCGUAACAAGGUAGCCGUAGGGGAACCUGCGGCUG